AUCCCAUGGUGAGGACAUUGCCUUAACAACUCAUUGAAUAUUUCCCAAGCAUCACAAAGACUUGUCAUCCCCUUUCGUAAAUGAAGUGAUCUCAUUACUCAUCUU